rnacentral:tRNA from 1 species
CCUAUAGCUCAGCUGGUUAGAGUGCACCCCUGAUAAGGGUGAGGUCACAAGUUCAAGUCUUGUUAGG